CCUACGGGAGGCAGCAGUAAGGAAUAUUGGUCAAUGGAGGCAACUCUGAACCAGCCAUGCCGCGUGCAGGAUGACGGCCCUAUGGGUUGUAAACUGCUUUUAUACAAGAGAAAACCCUGGUACGUGUACCAGGUUGAUAGUAUUGUAAGAAUAAGCAUCGGCUAACUUCGUGCCAGCAGCCGCGGUAAGACGAAGGAUGCAAGCGUUAUCCGGAUUCAUUGGGUUUAAAGGGUGCGUAGGCGGACUGAUAAGUCAGUGGUGAAAUCUCUUUGCUUAACAAAGAAACUGCCAUUGAUACUGUCGGUCUAGAGUAUAGAUGACGUUGGCGGAAUAUGACAUGUAGUGGUGAAAUACUUAGAUAUGUCAUAGAACACCGAUUGCGAAGGCAGCUAACGAAACUAUAACUGACGCUGAGACACGAAAGUGCGGGGAUCAAACAGGAUUAGAUACCCUGGUAGUCCGCACCGUAAACGAUGAUUACUCGUUGUUGGCGAUAUGACAGUCAGCGACCAAGCGAAAGCGAUAAGAAUCCACCUGGGGAGUACGCCGGCAACGGUGAAACUUAAAGGAAUUGACGGCUGAGAGNGCGAGGACGACGACGAGGGAGAGG
rnacentral:rRNA from 1 species